ensembl:lncRNA
AUGGCUCAUCCUACACAUCUGCAGUCCAAACCUGAUCCAGAACAGUUCUGCCGGGAUGGGGGGUUUGAAUGUCCCUGCUGCAGUUUCACCACUGAAGAGAAGUUCUCUUUUACACUUCACCUAGAGAACCACAUAAGUCAUGCAGUGGAGCAUGGAGGUUACUUCAUCUUAAAAUGCAAUAAACAGUGCAGGACCACAGCCCAUUUUCACUGUCUUUACUGCAGCCAGACAGUAAUAUGCAAGGACCAAUACAUAAGGCAUGUUUCCCAGUGCUUGAAGACAGAAGAAUUUGCAGCACCACCUCCACCUCCCUCUGUAGCUGCAUUUCCGACACCACCAUCCCCAGCUACUUCUGUUUCAAUGCCUCCCGUCUCUACCCCCCUUUCCUCUGAUCCUGGCACCUUUGCAGCACCCCCCCCAUCCCACUCCCUCAAAUUGUGGACUGACACUUAACAGGAGAAAUGUAAAGCUGCAUAUUCU